rnacentral:rRNA from 1 species
UGGCUCAGAUUGAACGCUGGCGGCAGGCCUAACACAUGCAAGUCGAGCGGUAGCACAGAGAGCUUGCUCUCGGGUGACGAGCGGCGGACGGGUGAGUAAUGUCUGGGAAACUGCCUGAUGGAGGGGGAUAACUACUGGAAACGGUAGCUAAUACCGCAUAACGUCGCAAGACCAAAGUGGGGGACCUUCGGGCCUCAUGCCAUCAGAUUUGCCCAGAUGGGAUUAGCUAGUAGGUGGGGUAAUGGCUCACCUAGGCGACGAUCCCUAGCUGGUCUGAGAGGAUGACCAGCCACACUGGAACUGAGACACGGUCCAGACUCCUACGGGAGGCAGCAGUGGGGAAUAUUACACAAUGGGCGCAAGCCUGAUGCAGCCAUGCCGCGUGUAUGAAGAAGGCCUUCGGGUUGUAAAGUACUUUCAGCGAGGAGGAAGGCGUUAAGGUUAAUAACCUUGGUGAUUGACGUUACUCGCAGAAGAAGCACCGGCUAACUCCGUGCCAGCAGCCGCGGU